CUGGUGUCAGCCGCCGCGGUAAUACCAGCUCUCCGAGUUGUAGGGAUGAUUAUUGGGCUUAAAGCGUCCGUAGCCGGCUUAGCAAGUCCUCCGUUAAAUUCAGCAACCUAAUUGUUGAGCUGCGGGGGAUACUACUAGGCUAGGAGGCGGGAGAGGCCGACGGUAUUCUCGGGGUAGGGGUGAAAUCCUAUAAUCCCGGGAGGACCACCAGUGGCGAAGGCUGUCGGCUAACACGCGCUCGACGGUGAGGGACGAAAGCUGGGGGAGCGAACCGGAUUAGAUACCCGGGUAGUCCCAGCUGUAAACGAUGCGGGCUAGGUGUUGGGGUGGCUACGAGCCACUUCAGUGCCGCAGGGAAGCCAUUAAGCCCGCCGCCUGGGGAGUACGGCCGCAAGGCUGAAACUUAAAG
rnacentral:rRNA from 1 species